rnacentral:rRNA from 1 species
GAUGAACGCUGGCGGUAUGCCUAACACAUGCAAGUCGUACGAGAGUUUUUAACUCUAGUGGCGGACGGGUGAGUAACACGUGAGAAUUUGCCUUUAGAGGGGGACAACAAUUGGAAACGAAUGCUAAUACCCCAUAUGCCUUCGAGUGAAAUGGAUUUUAUCCGCCUAGAGAGAAGCUCGCGGCUGAUUAGCUUGUUGGUAAGGUAAGAGCUUACCAAGGCGACGAUCAGUAUCUGGUUUGAGAGGACGAUCAGACACACUGGAACUGAGACACGGUCCAGACUCCUACGGGAGGCAGCAGUGGGGAAUUUUCCGCAAUGGGCGAAAGCCUGACGGAGCAAUACCGCGUGAGGGAAGAAUGCCUAUGGGUUGUAAACCUCUUUUUUCAGGGAGGAAUAAAAUGACGUGUACCUGAAGAAUAAGCAUCGGCUAACUCCGUG